GUACACUCCUGCGGGAGGCAGCAGUGGGGAAUAUUGCACAAUGGGCGCAAGCCUGAUGCAGCCAUGCCGCGUGUAUGAAGAAGGCCUUCGGGUUGUAAAGUACUUUCAGCGGGGAGGAAGGCGAUAAGGUUAAUAACCUUGUCGAUUGACGUUACCCGCAGAAGAAGCACCGGCUAACUCCGUGCCAGCAGCCGCGGUAAUACGGAGGGUGCAAGCGUUAAUCGGAAUUACUGGGCGUAAAGCGCACGCAGGCGGUCUGUCAAGUCGGAUGUGAAAUCCCCGGGCUCAACCUGGGAACUGCAUUCGAAACUGGCAGGCUAGAGUCUUGUAGAGGGGGGUAGAAUUCCAGGUGUAGCGGUGAAAUGCGUAGAGAUCUGGAGGAAUACCGGUGGCGAAGGCGGCCCCCUGGACAAAGACUGACGCUCAGGUGCGAAAGCGUGGGGAGCAAACAGGAUUAGAUACCCUUGUAGUCCC
rnacentral:rRNA from 1 species